rnacentral:rRNA from 1 species
GACGAACGCUGGCGGCGGGUCUAACACAUGCAAGUCGAGGGACGAACCAAGUGCUUGCACUUGGGGAAACCGGCGAACGGGUGAGUAACACGUGAGGAACCUGCCCUGUACACCGGGAUAACUACGGGAAACCGUGGCUAAUACCGGAUGCUCCACCGAGAUCGCAUGAUCGUGGUGGGAAAGCUCAGGCGGUACAGGAGGGCCUCGCGGCGUAUCAGCUAGUUGGUGGGGUAAUGGCCCACCAAGGCUACGACGCGUAGCUGGAGUGAGAGCUCGAACAGCCACACUGGGACUGAGACACGGCCCAGACUCCUACGGGAGGCAGCAGUGGAGAAUCUUGCGCAAUGGGCGAAAGCCUGACGCAGCCACGCCGCGUGCGGGAAGAAGGCCUUCGGGUCGUAAACCGCUUUCAGGAGGGAAGAAGCGAAAGUGACGGUACCUCCAGAAGAAGGCCCGGCUAACUACGUGCCAGCAGCCGCGGUAAUACGUAGGGGCCGAGCGUUGUCCGGAUUUAUUGGGCGUAAAGCGCAUGUAGGCGGCCUUGUAAGUCGAUUGUGAAAUCCCGAGGCUCAACUUCGGAACUGCAGUCGAUACUGCAAGGCUUGAGGAAGGUAGAGGAGAGUGGAAUUCCCGGUGUAGCGGUGAAAUGC